rnacentral:misc_RNA from 1 species
GUUAAGAAUCGCGAAAAUGAGAACUCGGUGCUUUCAAAUUGUCCUCUCUCACGCCAAUAGACACCAUUCUUUCUCAGAUCUGCCUGUUUGAUUGGUGUAACCACAACAGGGAUUGAAGAUCGUUUCAUGAUGGAAUACCGACAGACCUCAUAGGCAAGAUCUUCACGAACAUCAUAGCCCACAAAGAUCCUAAAUGGUUGCUCCACACCUCCAACAGCAGGAUGAAUCUCUCCAUUACAAGAACCCAUUGGAAGCAGAUACUUUGGUGAACACUAAAUCUUGAGUUUCAAUACACUACAAUGCAAGAAGGAGGGAAAUGUAGAUGUUGAAGAAGAAGAAAACAGUGGAAUGGAUUCG